rnacentral:rRNA from 1 species
GACGGACGCUGGCGGCGUGCCUAAUACAUGCAAGUUGAGCGAUGAAGAUUGGUGCUUGCACCAAUUUGAAGAGCAGCGAACGGGUGAGUAACGCGUGGGGAAUCUGCCCUUGAGCGGGGGACAACAUUUGGAAACGAAUGCUAAUACCGCAUAAUAACUUUAAACAUAAGUUUUAAGUUUGAAAGAUGCAAUUGCAUCACUCAAAGAUGAUCCCGCGUUGUAUUAGCUAGUUGGUGAGGUAAAGGCUCACCAAGGCGAUGAUACAUAGCCGACCUGAGAGGGUGAUCGGCCACAUUGGGACUGAGACACGGCCCAAACUCCUACGGGAGGCAGCAGUAGGGAAUCUUCGGCAAUGGACGAAAGUCUGACCGAGCAACGCCGCGUGAGUGAAGAAGGUUUUCGGAUCGUAAAACUCUGUUGGUAGAGAAGAACGUUGGUGAGAGUGGAAAGCUCAUCAAGUGACGGUAACUACCCAGAAAGGGACGGCUAACUACGUG